UAGGGAAUCUUCGGCAAUGGGGGGAACCCUGACCGAGCAACGCCGCGUGAGUGAAGAAGGUUUUCGGAUCGUAAAGCUCUGUUGUUAAGGAAGAACGAGUGUGAGAAUGGAAAGUUCAUACUGUGACGGUACUUAACCAGAAAGGGACGGCUAACUACGUGCCAGCAGCCGCGGUAAUACGUAGGUCCCGAGCGUUGUCCGGAUUUAUUGGGCGUAAAGCGAGCGCAGGCGGUUAGAUAAGUCUGAAGUUAAAGGCAGUGGCUCAACCAUUGUAGGCUUUGGAAACUGUUUAACUGGAGUGCAGAAGGGGAGAGUGGAAUUCCAUGUGUAGCGGUGAAAUACGUAGAUAUAUGGAGGAACACCGGUGGCGAAAGCGGCUCUCUGGUCUGUAACUGACGCUGAGGCUCGAAAGCGUGGGGAGCGAACAGG
rnacentral:rRNA from 1 species